rnacentral:rRNA from 1 species
CCUACGGGUGGCAGCAGUGGGGAAUAUUGCACAAUGGGCGAAAGCCUGAUGCAGCAACGCCGCGUGAAGGAAGAAGGGUUUCGGCUCGUAAACUUCUAUCAACAGGGACGAAAGAAAUGACGGUACCGGAAUAAGAAGCCCCGGCUAACGACGGGCCAGCAGCCGCGGUAAUACGUAGGGGGCAAGCGUUAUCCGGAAUUACUGGGUGUAAAGGGUGAGUAGGCGGCAUGGUAAGCCAGAUGGGAAAGCCUUGGGCUUAACCCGAGGAUUGCAUUUGAAACUCUCAAGCUAGAGUACAGGAGAGGUAAGCGGCAUUCCUUGUGUAGCGGUGACAUGCGUAGAUAUUAGGAAGAACCCCCGUGGCGAAGGCGGCUUUCUGGACUGAAACUGACGCUGAGGCACGAAAGCGUGGGGAGCGAACAGGAUUAGAUACCCUUGUAGUC